UUAUCGUGCUCAUUCGGUCUGUUCUCCUCCCCAACUUUUCCCAUCCUCUGCCGGGAAGGGAUGUGGUAUCACAAGCACAGGAAAUGCAAUAGGAACAGAGGCACACUUCAGGCUGGACUUCUGCUGUCACAGAUUCCUGCUGAGGUCCGGUACCAGCAGGCCGCCACUCUCACAGUGCUGCAGUUGCAAAGGAGGAGUGCUGAUUGCUGGAGGUUUGGGAGCAGCUGAGCAGCCCUUCAAUUCCGUUUUCCUUCUGAGGGAGACUGAACAUGGCUUUCGGUGGCAGAUUGUAGAGACACAGCCUCCUCUCACCCCAAGGAACGUUUGCAGUGGCCCUUAUUGCUACCUAAUCAUAGCAAUGUUUUUCUGCCAGAUGAGGAGGAGAUGUUGCUUAUUGAUAGUGGUGAUGGGAACUGCUUCUCCUUUGGGACACACUGGAAUCCAAAUCCUGUCUCACUGAACCUCAGCAGCAUUCUGACCAGCCACUAACAGGGACCAACCAGGACUGAGCUGUAACGCUGCACCAUGGUGUGACAUCUGUUUACCUGCAGGUCCAAGAACAACCAAAUGCUACUUACAACGUUUUUGGUAUCCUGAAUGCAUUUAUGAAGGUGGGAUAAGGAGAAGGGGUUAAGAAGUGAAGUUCUGUCAAGGGAUUGCAUACCUCUUCUGUCUUUUUUUUUUUUUUUUUUUUUUUUUUUUGUAGUCCUUUUUUGUGUUGUUGCAAACAGUGUUUUCCAGAACUAGCUUUGUAGGCCUAGCUUCAUAGAAUCAUAGUAUCCUACAAUGGCCUGGGUUGAAAAGGACCACAAUGAUCAUGUAAUUUCAACCCCCUGCUAUGUGCAGGGUUGCCAGCCACCAGACCAGGCUGCCCAGAGCCACAACCAGCCUUAGAGGUGAAGUAAGAAACAGUGCUGUGUUCAGGAGCGAUGUAAGUUUGCACAGUGCUGACUUGUAGGUCAAGCGAAGUCACUGAGUCAAGACGCCAUUGGAAAUAUGCAACCAAGCAUAACUGAACAUGAAGCAGAAUGUGUCACUGGUCAUUCUUGAAUGUUUCUAAAGGCCUUUGUAAGGGUUUGUGGAAGGAGAGUGUCUGCUCCCUUAAGGAUAUUUGGUCAAAGACUAUUUUACAGUGUAACAAGGGAAAUAGGAAAGGGAGGAAGACAUAAGCAGGACCAUAGAGAGAUACAGACCUGACCAGCAAAUGAUAAGCAAGGCUGUAAUGGGAAGCUGCCUGCUCAGGCACAGUUAUUGAUGGGGGGUGUAAGUGUGAGAGUGUUUAUUCCAGCAAGGUUAUCUGCUAGGGACUUUGUUGAGUGGGAAACUAAAGGAAAAAGGGGAAGGCAGAAACCAAAAUAAACGAUGAUAUAGACCUGACCA
rnacentral:lncRNA from 1 species